rnacentral:rRNA from 1 species
CGGUUUCUAUCUUCUAGGUAUGAAAUAGGUUAUUUUAGUACGAAAGGAUUAAAUAAUCAAAAAAUUUUUAAUAC